rnacentral:lncRNA from 1 species
GUUCCGGCCGCGCCUUGCCCAAGCGGCCGCUCCUGGUUUUCCGCGGGGCCGGGAGGGGGCGGGGCAGUGGGCGGGGCUCCGGAUUUGAGUCCGAUUUGGGGAGUGGCGCGAGUUAGGAACUGGCUGGAAGAUGGGGUGUGUGUGCGUAUAUGGGAGCGAGGAAAGCGCUGUAGGAAGCAUGCAGGCCGCUUUAUUUUACAGCUGUGGGAGUGGUGGACAAGGGCGGCGGCUCUGCGAGAAGCACGUGGGCGCGGCGGGCCGCCUCAGGGAUGGAGUAGGCUGUGGUCUUGCCAACUCCCGUUAUCAAAGGCCCAAGGACGCCAUUCACUCAGCCCCGGGCGGGCGUGGGUCUGGGGGCCGGAAACCCGAAGUCCUGUGGGUGCCGUGGAAUGCACGAGCAGCCGGCGGAGCAAACCUGCCCCAUAGAUUUUUCUAAACCGUUCGCCACAGAAACGCUACUCUGUCUUCUCUGACCGACUCUGUGCACUGCAGCCUUGCACAAAGAAAACAGGAGGUACUCCAAGUCUGAGAUACUGUUCCGACUAGGAAAGGGGUAGCUUCUGGUACCUGCAGCUCUCUCGGGGCAGGGUCCCGCGGGUCGUACCCACCUCCCCGCUCGAGUGCGGUCAAAACCCGGAGACCGGAUUACAUCCCAAUCCAGAAGUCUCAGGGCGCCCGCAGUUAGUUCAGGGCAUGCUCAGUCGCAGAGCAGGUUUUUGGGCUUGGAAGUAGGAAGCUUUUGCACCACACACCCACACUCUAGCUCAAAUUACCUCUCCCAGACUCUGCACUCAUUGGUCUCGGGGCGCGAGUCUGACACCCCUAAGUGUUGUUCAUUGGCUGCCGCCAAGGCUUUAUCAGUUUGGGGCGCUUCAUUGGCUAAAAAGUAGCCUCCGCUCGCGAUUGGUUAUUUAUAGAGAUUGAGCGGAGAGGCGGAGGCACAGCUGUUCUUUCUCCGUUGCUCCCCCACCCUCUGCCUCCCACUUCCCCAACCCUGGCGUUUUGAAGUAAAAGUGAAAAAAUAAGAGGCAUUUAGGCUGAGAGCUCAGAACUAAAUAUAGUUCUUUGUUGGUGUUUUCGAGAGGGUCUGACUCCUCGGUUUCCAGUCACGACUGCCCCUUAAAGGGAGCACAAAGGGCUAAUUACAGGUUUUGGUCCGCAAGAAACCGCAGAGUUGCCAAGUUUUUUUGCAGGGAGUGGGAGGGGGCGAGGAGCCGAAAUGGGCCACUUGGAAUUCGUUUCACCCGGAGGGGUAGGGGAGUGUCCAAGCUUGCUUCAGAGGAAGCGUCUUCGCUGGCGGGCCGGGCAAUCGCUAGACUUGGCUGGGCUGGCGCUCCCGGGAGGUGCAAGGGAGAUGCCCCGACUUGUUCCGACUCCCUCGCUCCUCGCUGAGGAGGGAUGUCAAGACCUGUCUGCAGGCUGAGCUCGGCGGCGGCGGGUGCGGGAUGGGGAGGGAGGCGGUGGAGCUGCGUCAGCGCUGGCUCCCCGUCCUGAUGUCACUGCUCCCUGGUUUCACCGUCCGCAUCGGAGGGUAAACCUGGGCAUGGCUAACACGGUUUCAGUUCCUAGUGCCGCCGUGACUCACGCUGCGUUUGCUAGUUAACCUCCAAACCCCUGGCCAAAGCAGCUUCCGUGCACGUCUGCAGCGUGAAGUCCUUGGGCACAGAACCGGGCGGGACGUGGGCUGCCCCUGAUGCCUUGGGUGGGGUGGGUGGUGCCCACACCCGCGCCUCACCCCAAUUUAGUAGAGAGAGGAGACUUUCACCUUGACUGUCAGAGUGCUUGGAUGUUAUGAAGCUUAUAUAAUUCUCCAGAAAAACCUCUCAGAGGCAAACUCGCCUAAGCUGGAGAGAACCCUGUCAACAUCCACCCAAUGUGUAAUGUCCACCAAGCGUUUUACAUAUACUGCCACUCCUCAUAAUAAUGAUUAUUUACCCAUUUUAAAGAUGAGGAAACUGAGGCUGUGAGAUGAUCAAUAAUUUGCCUGCGAUGCCACAACUAGAAAGUGGCCAACCUAAGAUUCCAACCCAGGGAUUUGCCUGCAGAGCCUAGUCUCAUAACCACUGGACCAUACUUACCCGUCACAUGAAUGUUCCGGUAUGUUAUUCUUUCUUAGGGUGAUUUUAGAGGCUGUGUGAUCAGACUGGCUCUUAAACCCAAGAGGGACCUCCGCCCACAGCCACCCUCUGGCUCUCCUCUGGCAGUGCCCCUCUUCCGGUCAGGCUGAUGGCCCAGCUGGAGCCUGACCCUCUUCUAGACUACAUACGCUCCAUGUAGUCAGAACUCUGGACUGCUCUGCCCAAAUGGUGCCAAGUUCACUUUCAGGAUCUGGUCGGGACUCUGAACUCACUCCUGUGUCCAAGAAAUAGCUCUUCUUUGGGGUGUGGACAGUACCUGGACCUGUGGGCUAAGGUGUGCACUCCCAGGUGCUUUGGGCCCCUCGUAAUGCAGGAAGAGGGAUCAUUCGCGAUCAGCUUUAUCCUCCAUGACACCUUCCAGCCUGGCCCUUAGAGAAGUCCAGGAAUUCAUAGUUCACAACUGGCCAUCCAGCUCCGUGUAGGAGGUAUUUGUCAAGAAAACCAAAUACAGCAAGAAUGAGAGAAAUUGCACUGUUGCAUUAAAAAGAAUUUUCCUGCCGGGCGCAGUGACUCACGCCUGUAAUCUCAGCACUUGGGGAGGCCGAGGCGGGUGGAUCACGAGGUCAAGAGAUCAAGACCAUCCUCGCCAACAUGGUGAAACCCCGUCUCUACUAAAAAUACAAAAAAUUAGCCGGGUGUGGUGGCGGAUGCCUGUAGUCCCAGCUACUCAAGAAGCUGAGGCAGGAGAAUCACUUGGACCCUGGAGGCAGAGGUUGCAGUGAGCCGAGAUUUCGCCACUGCACUCCAGCCUGGCGACAUAAUGAGACUCUGUCUUAAAAAAAAAAAAAAAAGGAAUUUUCCUCUCACUUUCUUCUCACCACUACUAGAUUAAAGGAGCCCCCUUUUCUUCUGCAGGUGAGAGGUGACAGCGUGCUGGCAGUCCUCACAGCCCUCGCUCGCUCUCAGCGCCUCCUCUGCCUGGGCUCCCACUUCGGCGGCACUUUAGGAGCCCUUCAGCCCACCACUGCACUGUGGGAGCCCCUUUCUGGGCUGGCCAAGGCCGGGGCCGGCUCCCUCAGCUUGCAGGGAGGUGUGGAGAGAGAGGCGCGAGCGGGAACCGGGGCUGCGCGCGUGGCUUGAGGGCCAGCUGGAGUUCCGGGUGGGCGUGGGCUUGGCGGCCCAGCACUCGGAGCAGCCCCCUGCCGGUCCCGGGCAAUGAGGGGCUUAGCACCCAGGCCAGCGGCUGCGGAGGGUGUACUGGGUCCCCCAGCAGUGCCGGCCCACCGGUGCUGCACUCGAUUUCUCGCCGGGCAGGGCUCGGGACCUGCAGCCCACCAUGCCUGAGCCUCCCACCCCCUCCGUGGGCUCGUGUGCGGCCGGAGCCUCCCCUAGGAGCGCCGCCCCCUGCUCCAGGGCGCCCAGUCCCAUCGACCACCCAAGGGCUGAGGAGUGCCGGCGCACGGCGCGGGACUGGCAGGCAGCUCCACCUGCAGCCCCAUUGCGCGAUCCACUGGGUGAAGCCAGCUGGGCUUCUGAGUCUGGUGGGGAUGUGGAGAAGCUUUAUGUCUAGCUCAGGGAUUGUAAAUAUACCAAUCGGCACUCUGUAUCUAGCUCAAGGUUUGUAAACACACCAAUCAGCACCCCUGUCUAGCUCAGGGUUUGUGAAUGCAAUCGACACUCUGUAUCUAGCUACUCUGGUGGGGACUUGGAGAACCUUUGUGUGGACACUCUGUAUCUAGCUAAUCUGGUGGGGACGUGGAGAACCUUUAUAUCUAGCUCAGGGAUUGUAAACACACCAAUCAGCGCCCUGUCAAAACAGACCACUCAGCUCUACCAAUCAGCAGGAUGUGGGUGGGGCCAGAUAAGAGAAUAAAAGCAGGCUGCCCAUGCCAGGAGUGGCAACCUGCUCGGGUCCCAUUCCACACUAUGGGAGCUUUGUUCCUUCACUCUUUGCAAUAAAUCUUGCUGCUGCUCACUCUUUGGGUCCACACUGCCUUUAUGAGCUGUAACACUCACUGCGAAGGUCUGCAGCUUCACCACGAACCCACCGGGAGGAACGAACAACUCCAGAUGCGCCGCCUUAGGAGCUGUAACACUCGCCGCGAAGGUCCGUGGCUUCACUCCUGAGCCAGCGAGACCACGAAGCCCACCAGAAGGAAGAAAUUCCGAACACAUCCGAACAUCAGAAGGAACAAACUCUGGACACGCCACCUUUAGGAACUGUAACACUCACCGCGAGGAUCCGCGGCUUCAUUCUUGAAGUCAGUGAGACCAAGAACCCACUAAUUCCGGACACACAGGGACAGCAAUCCACUGCUUGCCUUGAUGUACGAUUGAAGCCUAUCACCCCUUCUGCAGCAGUGGCUCCAGAGAGCAUCAGUAAAGAUGGCAAGAUUGAAAUCCAAGCAACAGAAUUUCCACUGAAUAGAAAUUUCUGAGGAAAGUGUAAGGACAGGUGUGAGAAUUCUGGUGGCAAGGAUGAGGAAGCAUCCCCCUUCCCAAACAGGAAAGAAGAGCCAAGAGACCUGAAAAGGAGCUGGAGCCAAGAAGGUGAAAAGGAGCGAGACCACAUUUGGCCUAUCAGAAAUAAGGAAAACUUUUUCUAUCCAUCUUUAAUAUGGGAAGAAUACUUUUAUGUAAUUUACUUGAUAUAAAUUGACAUCAUAGGACAUGGGGAAGAAAGGAUGCUUUGAAGAUGCAAGGUUCUUGCCCUGUCACCGAAUAAUGCAGUGGUUAUCAAAGCUCAUAACAGCCUCAAACUCCUGGGCUCAAGCAAUCCUCCACCACAUCCUCCUGAGUAUCUGGGACUACA